ACACUCGCCUCCCCUUUAGGAGCGUGUUUAUAUUCACACAAUACCAUCACAGCACAGCAUGCAAUUUAAAAAACAGACACAAAAGUUCCAAAGCAAAGCCAAAGUCUCAGACUCUGAGCAACAAGUCCGCUAACAAUCCGCGCGAAGCGCAGCGCAGUGCCGCGCAUACAAUAAACAAAUUGGCAGUCAAUAGUGCACGAAGGUGAAUUGUUUUUGUUUUAUUCGUUGUUUUCGAAUUCGAUAAGCUCAAAAGCAGAAUAGCAUCGUUAAAUAAAUUCCAAUAAAAGAAUUUAUUUCUGAAUCUGAAUCUCUGAAGUUUUGCCGACUCAUUGCUCGGCGCUGAAGCCGCCGCCGCCGUUGCCGUUGCCGCUGCUGUUAAGCUGUGUUUUCAUAGUUCGUAUUCAAAUAGGUUCACCUUCGAUCUGAUGGAAUGGAAACUCAACUCAGUAACGUCCUCUACCGCCGCGCCACGCGCUAUACAUCGAUUGCUUACGAAGGUUUAUCUACUAGCGAUAUGAAUAUGAACGAACGCUUUAGAGAGCGCGCUUUCUGUGAUCUUUGGGCGGAAAUCUCUGAUUUAACCUUCGAGUGAUAAAUUCGUUUUAGGCUUGUAAUUGUUUUAUAUACUUAAACAAAUAAAAAACAAAACUCAAUUUAUGUUAAAGUGUGCGAUUGUGGUGUUAUGACUUGGUUUUGGAUAUAUUUGUAUUUUUGUAGAUAUGUUCAAAACGGUAUGGAUUGUCACUGAUGCCAAUAUGAGAAUCACGUAGAUAGACGACGACGGACGGACCGAAGUCAAUUGGUUUUAAUUUAUGUCUCCCUUCAUCGUCACUGGGUGUAUAUUGUUUGUUGUUCUCGACUUCAUAAUAAUUUUUAUUUAAUUUUUGUUUUUAUAUUGAGGGAGGUUUAUAUUGGGUCUUAGUCACGACAAGGUUCAAAUUGGACUUUACUUAAUUUUAAAUUAAUCACGAAUGUCAAUUAAAUUAUGCUGAAUAAAAAGAAGAACUGGCGAAAGCGCCUUUCGAUGUUAGGUUAAGUUUUGAUGAUGUUUUAUUAAAUGAUUGAGAAAUUAUACAAAA